GACGAACGCUGGCGGCGUGCUUAACACAUGCAAGUCGAACGGAAAGGCCUGCAGCUUGCUGCGGGUACUCGAGUGGCGAACGGGUGAGUAACACGUGGGUGAUCUGCCUUGCACUUCGGGAUAAGCUUGGGAAACUGGGUCUAAUACCGGAUAGGACAGCUGUUUAGUGUCCGUUGUGGAAAGUUUUUUCGGUGCCAGAUGAGCUCGCGGCCUAUCAGCUUGUUGGUGGGGUAAUGGCCUACCAAGGCGUCGACGGGUAGCCGGCCUGAGAGGGUGUACGGCCACAGUGGGACUGAGAUACGACCCAGACGCCAACGGGAGGCAGCAGUGGGGAAUAUUGCACAAUGGGCGGAAGCCAGAUGCAGCGACGCCGCGUGGGGGAUGAAGGCCUUCGGGUUGUAAACUCCUGUCGACAGGGACGGAGCUUUUGUGACGGUACCUGAAGAAGAAGCACCGGCUAACUACGUG
rnacentral:rRNA from 1 species